GUGAUUAAUUGUUUAAAUUCAUGUAAACAUGGGCUAAAUGAACCAAAUGAUAGAUAUAUAUUAAGGCCAUUUGCUUGAGAAAUUAAACAACCCUGGGAAAUUUUUCCUUGCGCUAUAUCUUUUGAUUUAAGAGGACUACAUGAACGUGGCAUCUUUUUCUUUUUUUUGCAUUACAACAACAGCAACUUAAGGUCUAAUGGAGACUUCCUUUGCUUCAGCAUGAAGAGUGUGAGCAAGGGACGUUGCCGGAAGGUGUUACACCAACAUCACCGUCGAUCCAACUCUACUUACCAAAUUCGCCAGAAAAUCAGCUGCUUGCUUUCUUUAUCUGAGGAUCUGAUUACAUGUAAAAUUUGGAACCAUGGGCAGAAAUGAACAAACCCUUCCCCCAUAUAGAUGUUGCAUUGAUUUGAUCCCGUCGAUUCAUGUGUAAUAGAAUCACCUUCUAGCACAAUUCUAAUAGCUUGGAGGAGAAACACCAUGGCCUUAAUUUCACACCAUGUAACUUUUAACUCUACAUUUAGAAUGGAUGUCGGAGGCAAUGGUGAUGCAGUUGCAUAAAAGAGCCCUCCCCUAUUCAUCUCGAAUUACAAACUUUGC
rnacentral:lncRNA from 1 species